AUGAGGAUGAGGACUCAUGAUGAUGAUCAGGACUCAUGAUGAUGAUGAUCAGGACUCAUGAUGAUGAUGAUCAGGACUCAUGAUGAUGAUGAUGAUGAUCAGGACUCGAUGAUGAUGAUGAUCAUGACUCGAUGAUGAUGAUGAUGAUCAGGACUCAUGAUGAUGAUGAUGAUCAG
rnacentral:lncRNA from 1 species